AAGCGGUGGAUGAUGUGGAUUAAUUCGAUGCAACGCGAAAAACCUUACCUACCCUUGACAUGUCAGGAACCCUGCUGAGAGGUGGGGGUGCUCGAAAGAGAACCUGAACACAGGUGCUGCAUGGCUGUCGUCAGCUCGUGUCGUGAGAUGUUGGGUUAAGUCCCGCAACGAGCGCAACCCUUGUCAUUAGUUGCUACGAAAGGGCACUCUAAUGAGACUGCCGGUGACAAACCGGAGGAAGGUGGGGAUGACGUCAAGUCCUCAUGGCCCUUAUGGGUAGGGCUUCACACGUCAUACAAUGGUACAUACAGAGGGCCGCCAACCCGCGAGGGGGAGCUAAUCCCAGAAAGUGUAUCGUAGUCCGGAUUGUAGUCUGCAACUCGACUACAUGAAGUUGGAAUCGCUAGUAAUCGCGGAUCAGCAUGUCGCGGUGAAUACGUUCCCGGGUCUUGUACACACCGCCCGUCACACCAUGGGAGCGGGUUUUACCAGAAGUAGGUAGCUUAACCGCAAGGAGGGCGCUUACCACGGUAGGAUUCGUGACUGGGGUGAAGUCGUAACAAGGUAACC
rnacentral:rRNA from 1 species